rnacentral:lncRNA from 1 species
CUGACGAGGAUACGUUAACAUGCCUGACAGGUUCACUCUGCUUACUUUCAGCUUUUGUUUCAUACUUCACAAUGUUUGUAGUUGGAACGUGAGUGAACCUCUCAACCACACAUUCAAUGACGACGACUCGGUCAGUGUCACAUGCAUGUUUAAUGGAGAGGAAAAGUUUGAAUUAGAAGCUAAGUUGAAAAUGAAUGAUAAAUAUGUUUGUGAGGUUUAUAACAAAAGCCAAGAACAGGGCACGCAUAAACAUGACUGUACAUGGCAGCAUAAGGACAACAAAUUCACGUUCACCUUAAUGAAACCUGAGGGCUUACACAAAAAUACAUUUUCCUGUGAGAUAUCCAAAAUUAAACCAUUUCCAGUCAAAAUUCAAGAAGGACCAAAAACAAAGCUUUUCCGAGGUUGCAAUAAGUCUUUGGCUCCACCGAAGAACAGUUGUCCAUUCACUAACCAAACAAAUAACCAGGAUCACAGACCUGUAGAAAGUCACACACCUGAAGAAAUGUAUACCCUAUUAAUCUGUGGUCUGAUAAUAGUGGUGGUAAUGCUGUCUGUCUACAGCAUUAUUCUUACGGCAGUCUACAUAAGAUUGAGGGCCACAAAGCCUGAGUCUUCUGACACACUGACCUAUGUCCCAAUGCAGGUAAGUUCUUUCCUCUGUUGUGCCAACACUGUAUUUGUGCCAGUAAUGCAAUAUGCCUGUGGCCGUCUGGUACACCAGUUCUUCAAAUGAUUUUACUGUUUCAGAGGAAUGUAAACCGGCGUGAUCUAGACAACACCGAAUAUGUGGACAUGCGUGAAGUGCAGAAACGGGGAGGAUCCCACAGAGAUAUGAACCACAACUCUCAUCUUGCUAUUGCCUGAGCCCAUUUCUGGCAUAAGUGAGCUCAUGCUUUAACUGCUCUAGGACUUACUGCUGGAUGAAUUUUACUUAGGCUACACUAAAGAAUAUCACAGGACAAAACUAUUGCCUUUCUACCAAACAAAACAGACUUUCCUGAAUGCCUGAAUCUGCAUAUUGCGGCUGCACUGCAUACAUUACGCAGUCUUGAUGUUCUCUGUGUCAGAUGGUUUCAUCUGGUGGCUUGUACAACCUAAUGCUGAAUUGUAGAUAUGCCAAGCUAAAUGUAUAUGAAGUAUUUAGCUUGGGAAUUUUUUAAUUAUUAUUUUGAUCCCAUGGACCCCCCCC